ACUUUAUAGUCUUAAAGUACAUUUUGUUGGAACUAUACAUAGAAGAUUAGCAUUGCCUCAGUGCAAGGAUGACACACAAAUUCAUAAAGCAUCCCAUAAUUUU
ensembl:snRNA U6 U6 spliceosomal RNA